rfam:Salmo salar isolate Sally breed double haploid chromosome ssa15, whole genome shotgun sequence.
UGGCUCAGUUGGUAGCGUAUGGUGUUUGCAACGCCAGGGUUGUGGGUUCGAUUCCCAC